rnacentral:rRNA from 1 species
CAAUAGCGUAUAUUAAAGUUGUUGCGGUUAAAAAGCUCGUAGUUGGAUUUCUGCUGAGAACGACCGGUCCGCCCUUUGGGUGUGUAUCUGGCUCUUUCUUGGCAUCUUCUUGGUGAACGUUGCUGCACUUGACUGUGUGGAGCGCUACCCAGGACUUUUACUUUGAGGAAAUUAGAAUGUUUCAAGCAGGCAUACGCCUUGAAUACAUCAGCAUGGAAUAAUAAGAUAGGACCUCGGUUCUAUUUUGUUGGUUUCUAGAGCUGAGGUAAUGAUUAAUAGGGAUAGUUGGGGGCAUUCGUAUUUAACUGUCAGAAGUGAAAUUCUUGGAUUUGUUAAAGACGGACUACUGCGAAAGCAUUUGCCAAGGAUGUUUUCAUUGA